CGGAUCCUGGACAAGAGCCUCCCAGCUGACAUUCUCUAUGAGGACCAGCAGUGUCUUGUGUUCCGUGAUGUGGCCCCUCAGGCUCCUGUGCACUUCCUGGUCAUUCCUAAGAAGCCCAUUCCUCGGAUUAGCCAGGCUGAAGAAGAAGACCAGCAGGUGGGAAGAACAGGGCCAGGGUUUGGCUGGGAGGAGCCCCUGGACCCAGCUAGAGGUCUUGCUCCCUAUGAAUGAAGCCACCUAUGUCCCUCCGCUCUCUCUAUAGCUUCUAGGACACCUACUCCUUGUGGCCAAGCAGACAGCAAAGGCUGAGGGCCUGGGAGAUGGAUACCGACUUGUGAUCAAUGAUGGGAAGCUGGGUGCACAAUCUGUGUAUCAUCUGCACAUUCAUGUACUUGGGGGCCGGCAGCUCCAGUGGCCUCCAGGUUGAACCUGCCAACUGACUAAAGGACACCAGACUCUGGAUACUUGGAUGGAAAGGGAAAAAUGGACCCUGUGAUGCUAAUAAAACUGUUCUCCCUUA
rnacentral:sRNA from 1 species